GACGAACGCUGGCGGCGUGCCUAAUACAUGCAAGUAGAACGCUGAAGGAGGAGCCUGCUCUUCUGGAUGAGUUGCGAACGGGUGAGUAACGCGUAGGUAACCUGCCUGGUAGCGGGGGAUAACUAUUGGAAACGAUAGCUAAUACCGCAUAACAUUGACUAUUGCAUGAUAGUCAAUUGAAAGGUGCAAAUGCACCACUACCAGAUGGACCUGCGUUGUAUUAGCUAGUUGGUGGGGUAACGGCUCACCAAGGCGACGAUACAUAGCCGACCUGAGAGGGUGAUCGGCCACACUGGGACUGAGACACGGCCCAGACUCCUACGGGAGGCAGCAGUAGGGAAUCUUCGGCAACGGACGGAAGUCUGACCGAGCAACGCCGCGUGAGUGAAGAAGGUUUUCGGAUUGUAAAGCUCUGUUGUAAGAGAAGAACGAGUGUGAGAGUGGAUUUUUCACACGGGGACG
rnacentral:rRNA from 1 species